CCGCCCGCCGAGCUCACCGCACCGCCGGGAACUUUCCAGGGACUGCCCUGGAGACAGCCCCCAGCAGUGCCUCCGUGCUGGACCCAGGCUCCCAGGCCCCCGUGUGACCGAGCUCCGGUUCAGCUCCUCCAGCCGGAAUCCCAUUUUCUUGGGAUCCGUGGCCUCACGGGAGGCUCCGUAGCUGUCCUGGCACCGGGGACGUCCCGUCGGGCCACCGGGUCAGAGCAGCGGUGCUCACUGUGUGAGCCGCAGCUCGCAGCCGCCGCAGGCUCCAGCGAAGCUCUCCGCCGUGAGCCACCAGAUCUCCCGAGGAUGUGAGAGCGUCAGACCCCCCCAGAUGCUAGAGGCUGGAGCAGGCAUCCCGUCCCAGGGUCUCUCCUUCCCCGGCAGAAGCUCACUGCUGACAUCACCACCUCCCAGGCCCGGCUCUGGGAGCGCCGUUCUCCGUUCCACGCUCGUGUGUUCGACGGGACCGUGACCUCUCGUUUGCCAGAUGCCUCCCUGAUGAUUCCCGACGGACAGGAGAGUGAAGCCUGUGGGCCUGAACCCAGAGCGCACACGCGUGGCUUCGUGGCUCACCAGGCAGCGGCCAGAACCUACAUGCGUCCCGCACUUGGAACUGACCUCUUCCCCGUGCUCCCCUCGAAAGUCCUCCCUCCUCCACACCACUUUCACUCAUUCUCAGUUUUCCCAGGACUCUGACUCUGCUUCCCGCCUCCCUCUCUCCUGCGCCCUUUUUCCUCAUAGCCCCCCUCAUUACUUAGGGGCACGCCGUCAGCACCCCCACAAGACUGUACUUGAUCUCAGUCCUUCUUAUGCUGUUUGUGACUCUCUACUCUGUAUUAUCGUUAUCUCUGGGCCGUCCCCAUCACCCCGAGUCACUGUGAAUAUCCAGAGGGCAUAGUUCGUCUGAUUCGUCUUUGCUGACUCUCUUAAAGCACCCGCAGCAGGUCCAGACCCUAGGGAUAGAGUGAGCUGUGACGUACUACCCAGGAGAAUUAUACCUGUGUUUCCACCAUUCUUUAGAAAGAAUUUGAAGGGGCACCUGGGUGGCUCAGUGGGUUACGCCUCUGCCUUCAGCUCAG